GAAAUGCGAUAACUAGUGUGAAUUGCAGAAUUCCGUGAAUCAUCGAGUCUUUGAACGCACAUUGCGCCCCCUGGUAUUCCGGGGGGCAUGCCUGUCCGAGCGUCAUUGCUGCCCAUCAAGCAAGGCUUGUGUGUUGGGUCGUCGUCCCCUCUCCGGGGGGGACGGGCCCCAAAGGCAGCGGCGGCACCGCGUCCGAUCCUCGAGCGUAUGGGGCUUUGUCACCCGCUCUGUAGGCCCGGCCGGCGCUUGCCGAACGCAAAUCAAUCUUUUUCCAGGUUGACCUCGGAUCAGGUAGGGAUACCCGCUGAACUUAAGC
rnacentral:misc_RNA from 1 species